rnacentral:lncRNA from 1 species
CUUUCAGCCCCACCCCCUGACCUCCAGGGAGGAAAGAGGCGCUGGAGGUUACAAUUGAUUGCCAAUACUCUGUGAUUUAAUCAACCAGGGGUAUGUAAUGAAGCCUCCAUAAAAACUCCAAAGGAAGGGGUUUGGAGCGCUUUCAGUUGGUGAACCUGUGGAGAUCUGGGGAAAGCAGUGCUCCCAAGGUAUAGAGGAGCUCUACAUUCCCUCCCACAUGCCCUGUGCAUCUUCUAUCUGGCUCUUCCUGAAUUUUAUUCUUUUACAAUAACCCAGUAAUCUAGUUAAGCAAAUUAUUUUUUGUGUGUUUUGCGAGCCACCUCAGCAAAUUAACCAAACUCAACUUGGGCGUCCUGGGAACCUCCCAUUUGGAGCCAGUCCAUCAGAAGCACAAAUAACAUUCUAGACUUGCUUGUGAUUGAUCUCUGAAGGGGAGUGCAGACUUUUGGGACUGAGCCCUUAACCUCUGGAGUCUGGUGCUACUUCCAGGUAAAUAGUGUCAGGACUGAAUUGAGCUGUAGGACACCCAGCUGGUGUCAAAGAAUUGCUUGGUGCGGGAACCCCACCACAUACACAUUGGAAUUGGAAUUGUUACCUUCCAUAUCUUCUCCCCUUGGAAUCAGGGAUUAUUACACUCCCAACCAAUCAGUGUGCUCACCAAUCAAGAAGCAUCUCUGAGUUCUGGUGUCCAGAGAUUUUACUGGGGUUUCAUUAUGUAGGAACAAUUGCUUAAAUUAUUCAUUAUGUGAUUGAAGUCAAUUUCUAACCCCCUUUACUACCUAGAGGAAUGGCUGGCCAGAAGUUCCAAUCCCCUAAGCACAAGAUUCGUCUUUCUGGUAACCAGCACCCCUCCUAGAUAAGGGGCCCAUCAGGAGUCAUCAUUGGCAUUGGCACAAAAAAGACACUCCAAUCAUCCUGUAAAUUGCAAGGGUUUUUGCCAGGACUUGAGGCCAGAGGCCAGAUAUAUUACUGUAUCACAGUUGUAAAAGGCAUAGAUGUGUAUGUGUGUAUGUGUGUACCUCAGUGCACAGUAUACAUCCUGCUAGAGUCUGAAAACAGAAAAACAAGAGUGAUGGGAAGGAAGUUGAAGAGUCCUCUAGGGUACAGUGCACCCAAGGUUGGGUGAGGACGUCAAACACAGAAACCUGGACUCAGACAUCAGCGAUACUAAUGCCUUGGGGAUGAGUUAGGACACAAAGAGGUUGCCCAGUGAAGGGAAUGAGAAGUUCAAGUCCAGUUCAGUGCUUUUCUUUCCUCCUGAGCGGAGGCCUGUGUACUAUGAAUUGUGAGAAUAAAAAGAACUAUAUAAAUGCA